AAAAUGAAAAAGCAGUGCACUUGUGGUCUUCUGGAUUGCUUGCUGUUCAAAAUAGAAACUGAGAACUGUUUCAGCUUGCUAGCAAGCUAUUAAGCUAGCAGCUAACAUUCAGCUAACAUUCUGAAAGAAACUUGCUGUAUGGGAUUGAUGCCACACCAUGAUGUACACGAUGAAACAUCUAUACUGUAUUUAGCACAAGUAAAGAAUAGAGUGAGUAUAUUGAGACAGGCUGCACUACAUAUGCUUCAAUAUAUUUUUAUAGAACAUUAUAUUCAGUGGUGGCUAGUGGUGAAAUUGAUUGGGUGGGUUAACAAAUAAAUUAUAAAGUAAAAGUAACUCUC